rnacentral:misc_RNA from 1 species
GAUGAAGAACGUAGCGAAAUGCGAUAAGUAAUGUGAAUUGCAGAAUUUAGUGAAUCAUCGAAUCUUUGAACGCAUAUUGCGCCCGCCAGCACUCUGGCGGGCAUGCCUGUUCGAGCGUCAUUGCUGCCCUCAAGCACGGCUUGUGUGUUGGGCCCCGUCCUCCGAUCCCGGGGGACGGGCCCGAAAGGCAGCGGCGGCACCGCGUCCGGUCCUCGAGCGUAUGGGGCUUUGUCACCCGCUCUGUAGGCCCGGCCGGCGCUUGCCGAUCAACCCAAAUUUUUAUCCAGGUUGACCUCGGAUCAGGUAGGGAUACCCGCUGAACUUAAGCAUAUCAAUAAGCGGAGGA